UGCCCGAUCGUCUAAUGGUAGGACAGCGGCCUUUGAAGCCGUUAAUUGGGGUUCGAAUCCCUGUCGGGCAGCCA
rnacentral:tRNA from 4 species